GACGAACGCUGGCGGCGUGCUUAACACGUGCAAGUCGAACGGUAAGGCCUUCGGGUACACGAGUGGCGAACGGGUGAGUAACACGUGGGUGAUCUGCCCUGCACUUCGGGAUAAGCCUGGGAAACUGGGUCUAAUACCGGAUAUGACUUCUGGCUUCAUGGUUGGGAGUGGAGAGCUUUUGCGGUUGGGGAUGGGCCCGCGGCCUAUCAGCUUGUUGGUGGGGUAAUGGCCUACCAAGGCGACGACGGGUAGCCGGCCUGAGAGGGUGUCCGGCCACACUGGGACUGAGAUACGGCCCAGACUCCUACGGGAGGCAGCAGUGGGGAAUAUUGCACAAUGGGCGCAAGCCUGAUGCAGCGACGCCGCGUGGGGGAUGACGGCCUUCGGGUUGUAAACCUCUUUCAGUAGGGACGAAGCGCAAGUGACGGUACCUACAGAAGAAGCACCGGCCAACUACGUGCCAGCCGCCGCGGUAA
rnacentral:rRNA from 1 species